rfam:Candidatus Aenigmarchaeota archaeon CG1_02_38_14 cg1_0.2_scaffold_4408_c, whole genome shotgun sequence.
GGGCUGAUAGAUCAACUCGGUAGAUCGUCUGGUUUGCAUCCAGAAGGCUGGGGGUUCAAAUCCCUCUCAGUCCA